UACGAAGGGGGCUAGCGUUGCUCGGAAUCACUGGGCGUAAAGGGUGCGUAGGCGGGUCUUUAAGUCAGGGGUGAAAUCCUGGAGCUCAACUCCAGAACUGCCUUUGAUACUGAAGAUCUUGAGUUUCGGGAGAGGUGAGUGGAACUGCGAGUGUAGAGGUGAAAUUGUAGAUAUUCGCAAGAACACCAGUGGCGAAGGCGGCUCACUGGCCCGAUACUGACGCUGAGGCACGAAAAGCGUGGGGAGCAAACAGG
rnacentral:rRNA from 1 species